UACGGAGGGUGCAAGCGUUGUCCGGAAUCACUGGGCGUAAAGGGCGCGUAGGCGGCUCGGUAAGUAGGGGGUGAAAUCCUGCGGCUUAACCGCAGGGCUGCCUUCUAAACUGUCGAGCUUGAGCACGGUAGAGGCAGAUGGAAUUCCUGGUGUAGCGGUGGAAUGCGCAGAUAUCAGGAGGAACACCAAUAGCGAAGGCAGCUCGCUGGGACGGUACUGACGCUAAGGCGCGAAAGCGUGGGGAGCAAACAGG
rnacentral:rRNA from 1 species